rnacentral:rRNA from 1 species
GUGGGGAAUAUUGGACAAUGGGCGCAAGCCUGAUCCAGCCAUGCCGCGUGAGUGAUGAAGGCCCUAGGGUUGUAAAGCUCUUUCACCGGUGAAGAUAAUGACGGUAGUCGGAGAAGAAGCCCCGGCUAACUUCGUGCCAGCAGCCGCGGUAAUACGAAGGGGGCUAGCGUUGUUCGGAAUCACUGGGCGUAAAGCGCACGUAGGCGGACAUUUAAGUCAGGGGUGAAAGCCUGGAGCUCAACUCCAGAACUGCCCUUGAUACUGGGUGUCUCGAGUCCGGAAGAGGUAAGUGGAACUGCGAGUGUAGAGGUGAAAUUCGUAGAUAGUCGCAAGAACACCAGUGGCGAAGGCGGCUUACUGGUCCGGUACUGACGCUGAGGUGCGAAAGCGUGGGGAGCAAACAGGAUUAGAUACCCGGGUAGUCC